rnacentral:ncRNA from 2 species
CGGCGUUCGCGCGACUGGCGUUCGGAGGGAAACGACCCUCGGGAAGCGCGGACGUUCAAAGCCGCUCGCCUGGGCGCCCUCC